CCUACGGGAGGCUGCAGUGGGGAAUAUUGCACAAUGGGGGAAACCCUGAUGCAGCGACGCCGCGUGAGCGAAGAAGUAUUUCGGUAUGUAAAGCUCUAUCAGCAGGGAAGAAAAUGAAGGCACCUGAGUAAGAAGCCCCGGCUAAAUACGUGCCAGCAGCCGCGGCAAUAUGUAGGGAGCAAGCGUUAUCCGGAUUUACUGGGCGUAAAGGGAGCGUAGGCGGCCUGCCAAGUCUGAUGUGAAAUUUCGGGGCUCAACCCCGGGGUUGCAUUGGAAACUGGCAGGCUGGAGUGCCGGCGAGGCAGGCGGAAUUCGUAGUGUAGCGGUGAAAUGCGUAGAUAUUAGGAGGAACACCGGUGGCGAAGGCGGCCUGCUGGACGGUGACUGACGCUGAGGCUCGAAAGCGUGGGGAGCAAACAGGAUUAGAUACCCGAGUAGUC
rnacentral:rRNA from 1 species